GCUACUCAUACUAAGAGAUAGAAAUUAUCUAAAUAAAGUCAUAAUCAACAAUGGAAUUAAAAAGAAGAAGAAUAAAACUCUAAGGAAAAUUCUUUGUCUUUCUUCCGUGUUCUUGCCUUCAAAAUCUCUCUAAAAACAGCUAUCUCUCUCUUUAGGACGGAUUAGGCUUCAUAUAGGUUAAGGUUAGUCGCCCUGGAAAUCACAUAGUUGACCCUGGCUUCUUGGCUCUCGUAUGCCCGUCCGCGGCCGUGGAUUGGACCACUGAUGGAUCACGGAUUUGUGUUCUAUCAAUGGCUGCAAAUCUGACAGCGGAGCUGGGCGCAUAGUAGGUACUUGCUCUUCUUUCUCCUUUUCGACCAGGCUAUCCUCCAAUUGGCUUUUCAUGCUCCAUAUUGACUUCAAAACACUUUUUAGCUUCCUCCUAACUCGGAGUGGUUCCUUCAAAAUAUAAAACUCUUAAUUAAAGUAUUUUUUUAUCUUUUAUAUUCAAAUAUUGAUAAAGUAUGACUAAAUUAGAGUGUAAAUAGUAUUUAAAUUACAUAAUUAUCGUCUACUAAGAGUCCGCCCUUGAAUAUUACAUAAAUUAUGACAGAGGGAGUAGAAUUGAGUGGAUUAGAGUAAAGACGCGUUUAGUAACUAUAGGAUAUCCACACUAAAUGAAAAUUGGCAAAAAUGAUAAAUCUAAUUGAGAAGUUGAGUCACUUGUAUCAACUUGUGUGGCAUUUCAAAAUACUAAUGAGAGGUCACUUUUGCUAUGUUAAUCUCCAAACGAGUUCUUUGUUCUGAUUCAAAACGAAUGUAGUUAUUCAGUAGCUUUAAUUCAAAAUUUAUAUUUAUAUUAAAAAAUAUAUUUGAUAUAUAUAAAAAAGUUACUUCAGAACCAAAUUACUAACAUGUGAGAUAUCAUCUUAAGAUGUAAAAUCCAUAAAAGCUUUGUAUUUGUGGAGAAGAGAAAUAGGAGGAUUUAAACCAUAAGCUUUGGAGUCGCAAUCAAAGUACGAAGGGAUAUGAUAUUUCAAAUUUGACAAAGUCAACUUAGUUACUGCGUCUAUGGCAAGUCUUGCUGCAAUUUCCCUACUUCUUCCAAUUUCUCUAUAUUUGGAUUUUUCUUCACUAAGUUUUUUCUAUUAAUGUGGCAUGUUCUUCAAUUUCCAUCGGCUGAAUUAAGCACGGGAUCGUACCUUACUUCCCCCUCUUGUAGAUGAGAACAAACACCCAACCUGCAUGCAAAGAAAGAAAAAUCAAGAAUCAAUUGUUUUGCUUACUCCAUUACUUAGUAUUUUCUCAUCCAAUAUGCACUGCAGCCAAUACCAAAAUCUUGAAUACCCAAGAGCAGGGGAGAUUUAGGGGCAGAAGUAAGUUUAUCUGUAUCUUCUUCGUCGAAAAAUUAUACUACACAUAUAAAAUAUUUUUUUUAUACUUUUAUAUAUUCUAAUUUAAAUCCCCUUUACAUAGCCUAAAAAUAUUUUCAAUAGCCACAUUCUCUUUUAAUCUUUUUAUUUAUUUUAAUUCUUUAACGAAAAUCCUAUUUCCGUCACUAUCCAAAAAGAGACUAG
rnacentral:lncRNA from 1 species